UACGGAGGGUGCAAGCGUUAUCCGGAUUCACUGGGUUUAAAGGGUGCGUAGGAGGGCAGGUAAGUCAGUGGUGAAAUCUCCAAGCUUAACUUGGAAACUGCCGUUGAUACUAUCUGUCUUGAAUACCGUGGAGGUGAGCGGAAUAUGUCAUGUAGCGGUGAAAUGCUUAGAUAUGACAUAGAACACCGAUAGCGAAGGCAGCUUGCUACACGAGUAUUGACACUGAGGCACGAAAGCGUGGGGAUCAAACAGG
rnacentral:rRNA from 1 species